GACAGAGGUGCCAAGCGUUAGGCGGAAUCACUGGGCGUUAAAGCGUGUGUAGGCGGGCGAUCAAGUACCUUGUGAAUCCCACGGCUCAACCGUGGAACUGCUGGGUAUACUGGUUGUCUUGAGCCAGCUAGGGGCGAGCGGAACAGACGGUGGAGCGGUGAAAUGCGUAGAUAUCGUCUGGAACGCCGAAGGUGAAACAGCUC
rnacentral:rRNA from 1 species